GGAGGAGGGUGAAGUUUUGUGAUAGGAAAAUCAAACAAAGGAAUACAGUAAAAAAUCUCACCACUCAUUGCCAGGUGGUGUUUAAGCAAAAUGAGACCCCUCGUCUUCCCAGCUCCGUUCUCUGCAGGGCUGCGUUCUGCAUGCAUCAUGAUGGGAGACGAAAGCUCAAAGAAUGAUGGUUGUUAUUAUUUUCUUUUAACUGAAAGUAGAGGUCUUUUACACAUGGAGAGAUCUGAACCUGGUUUGUUUCUUGCCUUGGGGAGGAAAAAGAACCAAAACCAACGAAAUGGGGAAUGGUUUAAACUGAGACAAGGGAGGUUUAGGUUGGAUAUGAGGAGGAAGUUUUUCCCCCAGAGGGUGGUGACGCACUGAACAGGUUGCCCAAGGAGGCUGUGGAUGCCCCAUCCCUGCAGGCAUUCAAGGCCAGGCUGGAUGUGGCUCUGGGCAGCCUGGGCUGCUGGUUGUUGGCCCUGCCUGUGAUGGGGGGGUGGAGCUUCAUGAUCCUUGAGGUCCCUUCCAACCCAAGCCAUUCUGUGAUUCUAUGAUCCUCAUUGCCUUUUUUCUUCAUUAAGGAAAACCUCACAAACAGCAGAGUGCACACAUAGCCCAUGUGUGUCUUCCCUUUGUCUCUUUGCAACAGUCAUUUGAUAUUUGGGUCUCAGUGGAAGACACUGUGGCGCAACAUUGCUGUACCACACACUGGAGACCUGCAUUGUAUUCAGUAAGAGAGAAAUGGAGAAAUUUGAAUUAAUUGCUAUGAGAGUCAAGCUGGACUUGUUUGAAGUGACUCUUGCUGGAGCCUUCCCACACAGCGUGGCACUAAAUGUGGUAGCUGAGCUAACCUGCUUUGCUGCUGAUGACAAAUUUCAACAAAUCUGCUAGUCUAAAAGAGUAAGGAAGCAUUUGUUGGAGGAGGUAAUGUU
rnacentral:lncRNA from 1 species